GUGUGUCGUGAUUCCGACGAGGAAGUUGGUUAAAGUGAUUAACCAAGUGGUUGCGUUUCAGGAGCUAUGGCACCGAAGAGACGCCCAAGUACGAGAUCCACUCCGGCACCGCCACCCGAGGUGCCCGAGCAGACGGAGCCGAGCAUGAUGGAUCGGCUGCAGGCGCAAGUGACCGCGUUGACUAAUGUGGUGCAGCGCCAGGAGACCCGAUUCGAGAGGCUCCAGGAGCUUAUGGAGCGGCAGCUCGCGGCAGCGCCCGCGACAGUGGCUGAGGGCGGUGGUCCGCCCGCGCCCUCGACCCUGUACCUGAGGUGGCGGAGGGUGAGGGUAUAG
rnacentral:lncRNA from 1 species